UACGGGGGGGGGCAAGCGUUGUUCGGAAUUACUGGGCGUAAAGGGCCAGUAGGCGGCCAACUAAGUCCGACGUGAAAUCCCCAGGCUUAACCUGGGAACUGCGUCGGAUACUGGAUGGCUUGAAUUCGGGAGAGGGAUGCAGAAUUCCAGGUGUAGCGGUGAAAUGCGUAGAUAUCGGGAGGAACACCAGUGGCGAAGGCGGCUUCCUGGCCUGUGUCUUGACGCUGAGGCGCGAAAGCUAGGGGAGCAAACAGGG
rnacentral:rRNA from 1 species